AUGUUGGCACCUAACAGGGAAGCUCCUUCAUCCGAAACGGAGCCGGUUUGCAAAGGCGCCGCUCCUGAUCGGAGACAGGUGCCAACGUCUGACCGGCGCAACGCUCCCCGGAGCUUUUCUCCUUUCGGCCCUCGGCGGUGCUUGGCCUUAACCCGGCUCCUCGGGCUGUGGCUGCGACGUACGGGUUGCGAUCCUGCCCGGUGUUUGGGGGCUAAGGCCAUCGACAGCGGCAAUUUGAGAGGGGCCGGGCUGGAAAAUGAGCAAGUCCCAGGAAGGGGCCGGGAACGCUCACGUUUCGUGCUCCCGCUGAACAGCCGGGGGGGAAAACCUGCUCCCGACGGUGAGCCGGGCGCCUUCGGAGGGGCCUGCGGGGCCGCGCGAGACGUCCCCCCUCGCCCCGAGUGUGGCGGUUCACCGGGAGCGGCGGGGCCGCAAGCCCCUUCCCUCGCCUCGGCCCKCCGCGCGCCGGCCCGGGGCGCCAGCCGCUUCCCGCGGCCCCGCUCUCCCGCUCGUCAGCCGCCUUCCCGGCGUUUGCUGCUCACGCGCUCCGGUUUCGGGCUUUCCCGAGACCCAAGCGAUCCAGUGGGAAGCGGUUGCGAACCCGUUUGCCGUGUUUAUGUUUCCGCAGUUCAAGGACGGGGAAUUGCCGGGGCGCGCGCUUGGCCGGCCCCGCGGCACACACGCRCACCCGCCGCCUUGCCCCGUGACGCCCGCGCGGGGAGCGAAUCCGCGGCUACGAAAAUAACGUUUAUCCUUGGGAAGAAGGAAUGCUUAAGGUUAAUGACGGUGUUGCUGUUUCGAUGGCUAUCUUCCCGCGCGGUGUUUACAUCCCUCUCGGCGCAGAAGCGGGGCGGGAAGGGGGGCAACGGGAGCGCGGGAGCCGCUCCACCCCGCGCGCUAUUUACACCAAAUAAAUGUCCCCCGCGCGCCGGGCCGGCGCUGAUCUUAAAAGCCCGGGCAGGCGACCGCGGCGGAAGCGCUCCGGCGGCGCGCGUGCAGCUGGCGAGCCYGCGCAGAUGUUGCAGGUGGGGCUCGGCUUGUCCCGCCGCCCCGGCGAGGCGCCCGGCGCCUUGGGGUCGGCACCGCUGGGCCCCGAGGGCGACGGCGCGGGCGCCGCGCGGGGUGAGUGAGCGCCGGCAGGCUGGGUUUGGGUUUGGGUUUGGGUUUGGGUUUGGGUUUGGGGGGGGGGGGUGCAGCCCCCCUCUCCCGUGUCACGCUGCCCCGGGGGGACGUGUCCUCAGCCUGGGCGCCGUUAGCCAGCUGGGCUCGGGCUGCUGCACCCUCCCCAUUCGGCGCGUGGCAGGACGCCAAGGACGCAGCUGGCCUCUACCUCCACCCCAGCUACGUGUGCAAGGUGGAUUUGGAAAGUGCUGCAGCACUUCGAAGGGCAAAUAA
rnacentral:lncRNA from 1 species